UACGGAGGAUGCGAGCGUUAUCCGGAUUUAUUGGGUUUAAAGGGUGCGUAGGCGGACUGUCAAGUCAGCGGUAAAAUUGAGAGGCUCAACCUCUUCCCGCCGUUGAAACUGGUGGUCUUGAGUGGAUGAGAAGUACGCGGAAUGCGUGGUGUAGCGGUGAAAUGCACAGAUAUCACGCAGAACUCCGAUUGCGAAGGCAGCGCACCGGCGCCCUACUGACGCUCAGGCACGAAAGCGUGGGUAUCGAACAGG
rnacentral:rRNA from 1 species